ncrna:unclassified sequences S15-Flavobacteria ribosomal protein leader
UAUAUUUGCCAACUAAUUCAAUUACAUAAAAAUCAUUAAACUUAAUAUUGGCAUG